GGAGACAGCCGCCAGGCGGCGCCUGGAGCUAGAACUAAAGCGGUGAUCGUUAGCGACCUAGGGGCGGAGGGUUUGAAGGGCCCUUGGCAGGUGGAGGUGGUCUCUAAUUUAAGCAGGGGAACGACGCGACCUGCCCCCUUAUUAGGUCGGAAAACCUAGACAUCCAGAGUCUUGCUCUGAGCUCUCAACUGAAGAAGGGGAGAAUUUGCCUACCAGAAGUUAUUUGGCCAAGGCCCACGAGGAAGCUUAAAAAACAGGAGAGCUGAGUAUCUGCAAGAAUUAAUUUGUGCGAUUCCCUCUGAGUAGAAGAGGGACACGGUGCUGUAAGGUUUGCUGAACGAAUAGAUUUAAGGUGACCCUUUAGCUAAGAGCAGUGUGGUCUAGUUGUGUGUAGCGAGAAAAAAGGGUAAGGUUUUUAAUGGUUUAUCCAAAGUAGCCCCACUUUUAUGUUCCACCCGAGUCUCCGUAGGAAACGCAACCAGUAGUGAAAAUGAACACAGAUGUGAAAACCAGGGUGGAACCGAAUAUUCCCAUUCUCAGACCUUUUGUGAUCAAAUUUAUCUCUGAAUUGGCCCCUAUGGACUCUUCUAAAAAUGAAACGUUAUUCUCAUCCC
rnacentral:lncRNA from 1 species